rnacentral:rRNA from 1 species
GUCGAACGGCAGCGCGGGGCAACCUGGCGGCGAGUGGCGAACGGGUGAGUAAUAUAUCGGAACGUACCCAAGAGUGGGGGAUAACGUAGCGAAAGUUACGCUAAUACCGCAUACGAUCUAAGGAUGAAAGCAGGGGAUCUUCGGACCUUGUGCUCCUGGAGCGGCCGAUAUCUGAUUAGCUAGUUGGUGAGGUAAAGGCUCACCAAGGCCACGAUCAGUAGCUGGUCUGAGAGGACGACCAGCCACACUGGAACUGAGACACGGUCCAGACUCCUACGGGAGGCAGCAGUGGGGAAUUUUGGACAAUGGGCGAAAGCCUGAUCCAGCAAUGCCGCGUGAGUGAAGAAGGCCUUCGGGUUGUAAAGCUCUUUUGUCAGGGAAGAAACGGUGAAGGCUAAUAUCCUUCGCUAAUGACGGUACCUGAAGAAUAAGCACCGGCUAACUACGUGCCAGCAGCCGCGGUAAUACGUAGGGUGCAAGCGUUAAUCGGAAUUACUGGGCGUAAAGCGUGCGCAGGCGGUUUUGUAAGUCUGACGUGAAAUCCCCGGGCUCAACCUGGGAAUUGCGUUGGAGACUGCAAGGCUAGAAUCUGGCAGAGGGGGGUAGAAUUCCACGUGUAGCAGUGAAAUGCGUAGAGAUGUGGAGGAACACCGAUGGCGAAGGCAGCCCCCUGGGUCAAGAUUGACGCUCAUGCACGAAAGCGUGGGGAGCAAACAGGAUUAGAUACCCUGGUAGUCCACGCCCUAAACGAUGUCUACUAGUUGUCGGGUUUUAAUUAACUUGGUAACGCAGCUAACGCGUGAAGUAGACCGCCUGGGGAGUACGGUCGCAAGAUUAAAACUCAAAGGAAUUGACGGGGACCCGCACAAGCGGUGGAUGAUGUGGAUUAAUUCGAUGCAACGCGAAAAACCUUACCUACCCUUGACAUG